rnacentral:rRNA from 1 species
UACAGAGGUCUCAAGCGUUGUUCGGAUUCAUUGGGCGUAAAGGGUGCGUAGGCGGCGCGGUAAGUCGGGUGUGAAAGCUCCGAGCUUAACUCGGAAAUUGCAUUGAAUACUAUCCUGCUCGAGGGUUGAAGGGGGGACUGGAAUUCUCGGUGUAGCAGUGAAAUGCGUAGAUAUCGAGAGGAACACCAGUGGCGAAGGCGAGUCCCUGGACAACUCCUGACACUGAGGCACGAAAGCUAGGGGAGCAAACAGG